AGAGUCAGAGUGAGGCGGCGGUGAAAGAAAAACCGGCAACCGGAGUUCUCUGCCUACUGAAAUCUACCUUUUUCCCAAAUCAGGAUUUUGAUUUGAGUUUUGGUAUUAUGUGGGAACCGUUACACAUACCAUGGAGAUCAAAGAGAGAAACACAGAUCUAUCAAAUCAUUGUCACAAUGACUUAUCCUCACAAAUCUAUGUUGUUUAUGAAGAACCUCAUCCUGCUAGUAGAUCGGAUCUUUUUUGGGAUAAGGGAGAUAUCAUCAGAAUGGCCUGAUGACGAAAAGACAGCUACAGAGAUGCAUCCAUGAUUUGUAGUCACAUUUGGAUGAGUAGCCGCCAGUAUGGUAAUCUUAAUAUUGUUCUUUUGUUCCGCUAAAAAAAAUGAAUAUCCUGUGAAUUAGAUACUUCAUUCUCACAUAUAACACAUACAUACAUCAUGGAAACCAUCAUCCACCAAAGUUCUUCUUCCCAUAACCACCUAAUGCGUGGCUUUGUUCCCCGGAAUCCUCUUUUCCUUGGAUUAUUAGAAAAGUUGUUUUUUGUUGCGUUAAUGAAGGAUAGUAAAAUCCUGAGGCUGAGGAUAGUAUGAAUCAGUUAAGAAGUUAAGGAAGAGAUCCUUACAUUGUACAAUCUCAUGAUCAAAUUCAUGAAAGCGAAAAUGAUACCAAGGGUUGGUUGAAUUUGGAAAGAAAGAACAUAUAUAAGGACUUCUAGCCUUGUACCAAGAAAUUGUCUUGGCAUUUGUAAGGAAGUGAGGAAGGUGAUGGCUAAAUUUGGAAGCAAGGGAAAGGGUGGAAGCAAAGAUUGAGAUUGAGGACUCAAGCUGAUAAUGUUGCAACCUUAUCUGAACUAUUAGACGAGAAGAAAGCAAAUUAACCUGACAGGCUGAAGGUGCUCUUUCUUCGAAUUUGUAGUUAUGGAAUAUUAUUACUCCGCGGGAUUGUAUCAUCUGGAAUGAAGCCAGGCAGAGGCUGGACUGAUUGCACGAGCGGUUCUAGUUCAUGAAUAAUGCACAGUUGAAAGCUAGAGAGAUACAAAGGAUGUCGGUUGUAGAAAAAGUCGAGGUUGCAGUUUGAAUGAAGUUAAUGGUGUUCCUUAUGAUUUCUUCCUGGGAAAAAAUCCAUACCCUCCUGCAUUGAAAAUUAGUUUACAAAUUGAUGAAUCAAUAAUGGAAACAAAUACAGUUAUUGGUGUGAUCGAGUUUUCCAAUAAAACUUAAGAUGAAAUUCAUGAAGGGGAAAUGGUACUUGAGCUCCAAUCUUCGCCACCUACUAGGAACACUCCACUAGUUCAAACUUUAGAGUCUUGGACUGACAUGCAUCAGACGAAUGCCUGUUAUAUUUAGACUUGUUUGUCUGGCAUGUUGUUGGCCAAUGAUAUUUGGGAUCCAAAAAUCUAAAUAGGAUGAUCCUGAUGUGAAGAAAACUUAAUGCCGGGGUGUUCAUUUUCUGGUCACACGACAUCUUAAUCUUAUGUAUCGCAGUUGAUGAGGCAACAAAUUAAAUUCAAUUCUUAAAUCUACGCUCCAACGAGAUUGAUUACAGAGUUGCUAGCCUUCAUCUCAGCACGCACAUCCGGACGCCCAUUGCUGGCUGAAUUUAGUCUGUAAUUGCAGGCCGUUAGAUAUAAUGAACGGUCUGUUUUUUUUUUGCUAAAUCAAGUGUUGUUCUAGGGAACCUAAACUAAACAGUAAACCCUAUUGCAAUUACUAUAUAUAUAUAUAUAUGGCUCCAGCGCCGCCCGUGUCCUCCAAAGUUCACAAACUCUCUCUUCACUACUCUUGCUUCUGCAACGAAAGGACAUGGAAUACAUGGUGAUAGAUCCUUACUUUUGUAAUCUUCCACAACAGGGUCUCUUAAAACAGGUAUCUGUCUAUCUAUUGUCACAAUGACUUAUCUUCUCGGACAAAGACUUCGGAAGACCACUGGUUUUUGGUUCCUUGUGUCUGUUGUGUCUAAUUGAUGCUGCAUCAUGUUUCUUUGUUGUUGACGGUGGUCUCUGUUGAUGAUUAACUCACAUUGGAGAUGGUCUCACUCAAUCAAAGAAGACAUAAACCAUGUAUUAAAUCUUUGUAAUAAAACUUCAUCAGCUAAUAAAGUUUGUUAAUAUGAUUGUAAAAGACAUAAAUGUGUAUACAAAUUCUAUUAAUCUGAAAUUAUUAUAAAAUUAGC